AUGGUGCUCAAAAUUGGGGCAGAGAAGGCAUUCUCGAAUAGGCCAAGAGCCACGGAUGUGCAGCCCAUGGGAAGGAACAAGGCCCCGAAAACUGAAGGCUUUUCCAAGCGCUACAGGUCUUCAGCCCUCCAGGCUGACAAGCUCAUAAUCCCAUUAGCGUCGGGCCUACAAAUCUCUUCCUUCGAAGCAGACCUGCUAGGAAGGGAGUUUGUUCCUAUGAAAAUUUCUAGGGACCAGAAUAGAGUAGCAGAUCAUCUGGCAAAUCAUGAUAAAAUUGAUCAUAGUACGGCUUGUUGGCUUCACAAAGGCCAUCCAUGUAUAGCUGAACUUUUGUCGGCUGAUUGUAACUCCACACUUUUGGAAUAA
rnacentral:rRNA from 1 species